GACGAACGCUGGCGGCGUGCUUAACACAUGCAAGUCGAACGCAGUGGCGAACGGGUGAGUAACACGUGGGUGACCUCCCCUGCAAUUCGGGCUAAGCCUGGGAAACUGGGUCUAAUACAGGUUAGUGGGGGAUGGGCCCGCGGCCUACCAGCUUGUUGGUGGGGUAAUGGCCUACCAAGGCGGCGACGGGUCGCCGGCCUGAGAGGGUGGACGGCCACAUUGGGACUGAGACACGGCCCAGACUCCUACGGGAGGCAGCAGGGAGGAAUAUUGAACGAUGGGCGGAAGCCUGAUGCAGCGACGCCGCGUGGGGGAUGACGGCCUUCGGGUUGUAAACUCCUGUCACCAUCGACGCGGUAGAUGGAGAAGAAGCACCGGCUAACUACGUGCCAGCAGCCGGGGUAAUAC
rnacentral:rRNA from 1 species